rnacentral:rRNA from 1 species
UAAUACAUGCAAGUCGAGCGAACAGACGAGGAGCUUGCUCCUCUGACGUUAGCGGCGGACGGGUGAGUAACACGUGGAUAACCUACCUAUAAGACUGGGAUAACUUCGGGAAACCGGAGCUAAUACCGUAUAACAUGUUGAACCGCAUGGUUCAACAGUGAAAGACGGUCUUGCUGUCACUUAUAGAUGGAUCCGCGCCGCAUUAGCUAGUUGGUAAGGUAACGGCUUACCAAGGCAACGAUGCGUAGCCGACCUGA